rnacentral:rRNA from 1 species
CCUACGGGUGGCAGCAGUGGGGGAUAUUGCACAAUGGGGGAAACCCUGAUGCAGCGACGCCGCGUGGGUGAAGAAGCGCCUCGGCGCGUAAAGCCCUGUCAGCAGGGAAGAAAAUGACGGUACCUGAAGAAGAAGCCCCGGCUAACUACGGCCCAGCAGCCGCGGUAAUACGGAGGGGGCAAGCGUUAUCCGGAUUUACUGGGUGUAAAGGGGGCGCAGGCGGCGAUGCAAGCCAGGAGUGAAAGCCCGGGGCCCAACCCCGGGACUGCUCUUGGAACUGCGUGGCUAGAGUGCAGGAGGGGCAGGCGGAAUUCCUGGUGUAGCGGUGAAAUGCGUAGAUAUCAGGAGGAACACCGGUGGCGAAGGCGGCCUGCUGGACUGCAACUGACGUUGAGGCCCGAAGGCGUGGGGAGCAAACGGGAUUAGAUACCCCAGUAGUC